GAUGAAGAACGUAGCGAACUGCGAUAAGUAAUGUGAAUUGCAGAAUUCAGUGAAUCAUCGAGUCUUUGAACGCACAUCGCGCCCCCUGGCAUUCCGGGGGGCAUGCCUGUCCGAGCGUCAUUGCUGCCCUUCAAGCCCGGCUUGUGUGUUGGGUCGUCGUCCCCCCCGGGGGACGGGCCCGAAAGGCAGCGGCGGCACCGCGUCCGGUCCUCGAGCGUAUGGGGCUUUGUCACCCGCUCGAUUAGGGCCGGCCGGGCGCCAGCCGGCGUCUCCAACCUUCUAUUUUACCAGGUUGACCUCGGAUCAGGUAGGGAUACCCGCUGAACUUAAGCAUAUCAAUAAGCGGAGGA
rnacentral:misc_RNA from 1 species